AGUGAAGGGGGGAGGAAAAGAAGAAGAAGAGAAGAAAAAAAGGAGGUUUCUUUCCUCCCACUGCCCUGGCCCGGCCAAUGAGGAAGCAGCCCCGCGCCUCCCUCACUUCUGACAACUAUUUAGCAACUGAGCCCAGCUACAGUUUCCAAAAAAGUUAGAAAAACUUCCUCUCUCCAAGACCUCAAUUUUUGCACAAUCCUGUCCUUGAAAUCAGAGCCCUGCAAGCAACCUGGAAAACGUUUGCUCAGCAAAAAUAUAAACCCUCCUGUUUUUUUAUUUUGUGUUUGUGUUGUUUUUUUUUUGUUUUGUUUUGUUUUCCAAAGGAUCUGUCUCAGGAAUUUUAAAGCGUAUUUAAGACACACACACACACAACACAAGGAGGGGGGCAAAAAAAAAAAAACCCAAACCAAACCCAAGUCGCUUCCCCUCCCUUUCUUCACAGAAAGAAUGGAAGAAAGUUCCAGCUCUCCUGUUUCCCCCGUGGAUAGUUUGGGGACCAGUGAAGAGGAGCUGGAAAGGCAGCCAAAGAGAUUUGGCAGGAAGAGAAGAUACAGUAAGAAAUCCAGUGAAGAUGGCAGCCCCAACCCAGGCAAGAGGGGGAAAAAGUCUAGCCCCAGCUCCCAAUCUUAUGAAGAACUGCAAAGCCAGAGGAUCCUGGCCAAUGUCAGAGAGAGGCAAAGGACUCAGUCUCUCAAUGAAGCCUUUGCAGCCCUGAGGAAAAUCAUCCCCACGUUGCCUUCUGACAAACUCAGUAAAAUCCAGACCCUCAAGCUCGCAGCCAGGUACAUAGACUUCCUCUACCAGGUCCUACAGAGCGACGAGAUGGACAGUAAGAUGACAAGCUGCAGCUACGUGGCCCAUGAGAGGCUCAGUUACGCCUUUUCAGUGUGGAGGAUGGAAGGAGCGUGGUCCAUGUCUGCCUCACACUAGCCAGCAUCAGGGUAAAGCAAACACAACUGCCAAAGGGGGAGACCUAUAUGUAAGACUAUCUACAGUAUCAGAUCAUUACAAUUCCUGUACACCGAGGACAAGCAGUACGGUACAACUCUCAAAUGCAACAGCAAGAUGCAUUUCUGCCCCCAGGGGACACUGCCAUUUUCACAAGAGAAGGAAGAAGGAUUUAGUGCCUUCUUUGCUUGUGGACUUCCUCUAUUGUUGACUUUUGAUCCAGAGGUUGGUGGAUCUGCUGCUGUCCUCCUGACUAGGCCUCAAAGGACUGGGAGUAGACACUGGCAGCAUCCAUUCAUUCCUGUAGAGAUUAGAAACAAGGAACUUAUGGCCCUGAUUGCUCAAAAGCCUCAGGAGAGGAGACAGAGCAAGUCUAAAGGUUUUGGAGUUGGAAGGAACCUGCCUCCUCUUGGCCCUGUGACCUUGAGAUCCACAGAAGUACAGAAGCAGCACAAAGGAGCUGAAAGAAAAUAUACUUCUUUAUUGAAAGUAAAAUGGUGCAACCGACUUCUAGCAUAUAGAAGCAUUUCCACACUGCAAGUUAUUCUGAGAAAAAAAUGUGAUUUGCAAAUACAGUCAAAUGAAAUAUGCAUUUCCAAAUGCUACUAGGAUGACCAAACACAUCCUUGUCUGUAAGAAGUGUCCUGCAGACAUUAAAAAAUCCUUCAUGGGUAUAAGUGAGGAGGAGGUAGAUUGUGAUGAUGAAAGUGCAAGUAGCUGUUUCCAGCAUCCUCGAUCCAGAAGUCCUUCUACUGCUGCUGCUGCUGCUUCUAUAACAUCAGUAUUACAAAGGGUUGACCAAACAACAUCCUUAAGUAACCAAAUAUUGCAACCAACUGUAAGCAAAAGACUCUCAAUAGCCUCAUUUGUAGACAAGAUGACACCUGAAGAUCAGGAAAAAAUUGACCAAGCUCUUGAAAGAGCAAUAUAUUCUUCUGGGAUGCCAUUGUCAAUGAUUGAAAAUGCAUACUGACAGGAAGCUUUUAAAUUACUAAGACCAUCAUACCAUUUGCCCAGCAGACAUUCUUUGAGCAAUGCUCUUUUACAGUCAGAAUAUGAGCGUGCAAUGCAAUCUGUUCAAGGAAAAAUCAAUAAAGCACCAUGUCUUACAGUACUUACAGAUGGAUGGACAAAUGUUCAGGGAGAAGGAAUCAUAAAAUUGUGAUAACACCUCAACCAUUUUUUUACAGAAGCAUUAAAAUAGGAGAGAACAGGCAUACUGCAGAGUAUAUCAGUAGUAAAAUAUGUGAAGUCCUACAGAAGAUUGGGAGUGGUAAAGUACUUGCUUUGGUCACUGACAAUGCAAGUAACAUGAAAGCAGCAUGGGAUAUCAAAAUGGAUAAAUAUCCACAUAUUACUGCAACAGGAUGUGCAUCCCAUAGGCUAAACUUGCUUCUUAAUGACAUCAUGAAGUUGGACACUCUGCAAAAGAUCUAUAGAAGAGCAAAGAAGUUAUAAAACAUGUAAAAGCUACUCAUAUGUUACCUGCAGUCUUUAAGAAGAAGCAGGAAGAAAAGAAUGCAAAGAAUAAAAUAGUGACACAAACUCUAGUAAAACUAGUUGGGAUGGAGUGGUGAUCUCAUUUGAAAGUUUAGUAAAAAACAAAUAAACUCUUCAAGAAACAGUAAUAAUUGAUGAUCUUAAAGUACCCAGAAGUGUAAGGGACACUGUACUUGGUGAAGAUGUCUUCUGGGUUCAGCUGCAGAACUCCCUGAAGAUUCUAAAGCCAAUUUCUUCAGCAAUCACUGCAUCUGAAUCAGACAGUGCACUUUGUCAGACAUUCCUUACCAAAUGUCCCAGAUAAAAUCAACUGUUUUUGAGAAUCUAAGUGUAUUUUUGCUUACAAGUACAGAAGAAAGAAAAAUAAAAGACUUUAUUAACAAACAGGAAGAUUUUUGUUGCCAGUCAGUUCAUGCUUUUGCAAAUCUUUUGGAUCCAACAUUCAAAGGCAGAAAUGUUAGUGAUGAUAGCACUGCUACUGGAUUUGACUGGAUUACAAAACAAGCAACACGCUUAGGACUUGAUGUUGGAAAGGUACUUUUAAAUGUUGCAGAAUACUGAACAUCUUGAGGCAUUUGGUCCAAGAAUGCAGUCUGGUACUCUGCCAAGCGUAUCCCUCCUGCAACAUGGUAGCAAGGCCUUUGCACGACAUAGUCUCAACUCCUCUUGCUUCUCACCUGCUUCAGAUUCCUCCAUUUUCUGCAGCAUGUGAAAGAAACUGGUCUGUUUGGAAAUACUCACACCAAAUCAAGAAAUAAAUGAACAUGUGAAAUAGUAGAGAAGCUUGUCUCAAUCCGGGCAAACCUUCAGUUUUCAGAAGUCCAUGAAGAUGAUAAAAAUAAAGGAUCAGAAGAAUCAGAAGGAGCAGAAAAUGCUGAUAGUGAUAGCUCAGCAAAUGAGACUGAUUAGAAAAAGUUUCAUGUAGCAAAAUUUGUAUUCAAUGAGUCAUGUUUUUUUCCCUUUUUUUCUCAGCCCUUUUUCUAAAAAUGAGUGCUUUCUGUAUCUGCUUGACACUGUGGAAGAGACCAAGUCCAGAAUACAUAAUAACUUUCUUUGUUUUACUAUAAUGUUGAUUUUUUUUUCUAUUUUCAACUUUAAUUUUUGCCUGCUUCUCAUAAACUGGCAAGAACUAAGAGAUGCUAGGUUUCUUAGAGUUCAGCAGCUUGUAGCUCCAUUUGUAACAAAAAUUAAAAACAUUUUAAAGUAAA